GUAUGUGUGUGUGUGUGUGUGUGUGUGUGUGUGUGUGUGUGUAUAUAUAUAUAUACAUAUAUAUAUACACACACACACACACACAUACAUACACUGCGGGGU